GUAAAUAACCUAGAUAGCUAACGUCAACGUUAGGUAGCCGCCAGCGAACGCUAGCUAGAAGGGUUUGUUGGGACUUUACCUGGAACGCUACCGAG